GGCUACUGCUAUUGGAAUGCGACUAACCCAUGCGAGUCAAGGGGUUCUUCGGAGCACCGGCGUAUGGCUCAGUAACAUGUGGGUAACCUACCCUCAGGAGGGGGAUAACCUCGGGAAACUGAGGCUAAUACCCCAUAGAGAAGAGAUACUGGAACGUUCUUUUAUCGAAAGCUCCGGCACCUGAGGAUGGGCCUGCACUCGAUUAGGUUGUUGGUGAGGUAAUGGCUCACCAAGCCUACGAUCGGUACGGGUCGUGAGAGCGAUAGCCCGGAGAUGGGGACUGAGACAAGGCCCCAGGCCCUACGGGGCGCAGCAGGCGCGAAACCUCUGCAAUGUGUGAAAACAUGACAGGGGUAUUCCAAGUGUCCUUGUUUUGCAAGGGCUUUUCUUCGGUCCAAGACGCCGGAGGAAUAAGAGCUGGGUAAGACCGGUGCCAGCCGCCGCGGUAACACCGGCAGCUCAAGUGGUAGCCGCUAUUAUUGGGCCUAAAGCGUUCGUAGCCGGACAAGUAAGUGUUCUGGUAAAUCUCAUAACUUAAUUAUGAGACUUCAGAAUAUACUGCUUGUCUUGAGACCGGGAGAGGCUGGAGGUACUUUUGGGGUAGGGGUAAAAUCCUAUAAUCCCAAAGGGACCACCGGUGGCGAAGGCGUCCAGCCAGAACGGGUCUGACGGUGAGGGACGAAACCCAGGGGAGCGAGUCGGAUUAGAUACCCGGGUAGUCCUGGGCGUAAAUGAUGUGGGCUAGGUGCAAAGCUACCUAAGUGGUAGCUUGGUGCCCAUGGGAAACCGUUAAGCCCACCGCCUGGGGAGUACGGUCGCAAGGCUGAAACUUAA
rnacentral:rRNA from 1 species